GAAGACAGAGCCACGAGGAGAGCCCAGCUACACAGCUAGACGUGCUGCCUGUUCCACUGGGCACCAGAGCUGCAUUUUUGGCUGCAGGCAGAAAGGAGCAGAUACCUGCCAGUUUGCCCAGUGAGAAGAUUGUUGAUUUGGAGCUGGUUUGAAUCACUUUGUAUUGCCUCAUUCGUGCCUGCCAUUGUACCAGCUGUCUCCCAAACCCAGACUCCCUCUCCUGAAGCCCCAAACUUCAUGCUGAUGGAUGGUCUCAGCAGAGACCCCAGCGCCUGCCAAUAGACCUGUUAAAGGUGGAGUUGCAGCUGACUGAUAGGGAAACUAGCACUGCUUCUUUCUAUGAGAUUUCAUCUGCCUGGGCUGUCAGUCCCAAACCCGGGAGAUACCGCACGGCGUAACAGCAGAGCUGCCAGCCUGCAAGGAGGGGAGAAGCUGCCUUAACCCUUUCCCCAAUGCAGGAUUUCAAAAAUUGUGGCCAAGUCAGGCAGCACACCAUACUCCUUGGGACAUCUGGG